GGUGGCACAAAUAAAAUUAAUGAAGAUUUAUUCACUUCUUGUCAGACUGCCUGGAUAUGAUAUCUUCAAUACGUUUUCUUGAUGGAUUCAUUGAAGAAACAUUUUUGCCAUGUGUUGCUUAUUUAAGCAGUAUGAACAUGUGAAAGACAUGGCAGCCUUCCACAUCUCAUCUCUUUAUUUGCACCUUUUCCAAACAAGGUGCCCUUGACAAACAUUGACAGGUUUGAUGAAGAAGUCUUCAGUUUUCUUACACAAUAUCAUCGAGACAAUGUCACAAUUCCACAGGAUAAAGAAGCUUUACAACAACUUUGGUUAUUCAUAUUCAGAAGUCUUUUGGAGACUGAAAGAAAGAAUCGGAUAAGCUACACUUGGUAUUAUAAAUGUACCAUGGACUAUGGAAACCAGGAGGACUUCACUGAAUUGUUGAGGCUCACAAAAAUGAAGUCCAUGUGGUCACAGACUGGACAAAGAAGACAUUGAAGACAAUGAGUGACUUUAUAAAAUGCUCCUCAAAUAAAGUCAACUUAGUAAUGAAAUACGAUGACACAAAUGAUAGAUUUAUUCAUGUCUUUUCAGACUGUCUGGAUGGGAUAUCUUCAAUACGUUUUCCAGAUGGCUUCAAUGAAGAUACAUUUUGGGACAUGUGUCAUUUAUUUAAGCAGUAUGAAAAAUGAAACAAGAUGACAGUCUUCCAUGCCUCAUCUCUUUAUUUGCACCCUUUCCAAAGACAGUGCCUUUGACAAACAUCAAGAAAGUCAAAAGUUCAGUUUUCUGAGACGAUAUCGUCAGGACAAUGUUACAGAUCCACAGCAGAAAGAAGCAUUACAAGAACUUUGGCAAUUCAUAUCCAGCAGUCUUUGGGAGGCUGUAAGAGAGAAAUAUCAAAGUUACACUUGGUAUUUUAAAUUUACUGUGGACUGUGAAACCAGAAGGACUUCAGUGAAUCAUUGAGGCUCAGAAAUAAUGAAAUUCAUAUGGAGACACUCUGGAAAAAGAAGACACUGAACAGAAUGAGUGACUUUAUAAAAUGCUCCUCAAGUAAAGUCAAGUUGGUAAUUAAGUACAAUGACAAAAGGAAAAAUUUGUUCACUUUUUAUCAGACUGCCUCGAUGGGAUAUCUUCAAUACGUUUUCAAGAUGGUUUUAAUGAAAAACAUUUUGGACCUUGUUUCAUUUAUUUAAGCAGUUUGAAGAAGUGAAAGGACACAGCAGUCUUCCUCACCUCAUCUCUUUAUUUACACCUUUGCAAGCAAGGUGCCCUUGACAAACAUCGAGAGGAUUUAUAAAAGUGACUUCAAUGAUUUCCGUUUUCUGAGACGAUAUCGUCAGGACAAAGUCACAGUUCCACAGCACAAAGAGGCUUUACAACAACUUCGGUUAUUCAUGUUCAGAAGUCUUUGGAGACUGAAAGAAGGGAACAACUAAGCUACACCUGGCAUUAUAAAUGUAUUGUGGACUGUGGAAGCUAGAAGGACUUCAAUGAAUCAUUGAACCUAACAUAUAUUGAAGUCCACGUGGAUCCAGAUUGGACAGAGGAGACACUAAAGACCAUGAGUAACUUUAUAAAAUUCUCCUCAAGUAAAGUUGACAUCAUAGUGGACUGCGGUGGUGCAAAUGAAAUUAAUGAAAGAUUUGUUCACUUCUUGUCAGACUGCCUAAAUAUGAUAUCUUCAAUACGUUUUCUAGAAGGAUUUAAUGAAAAAAACUUUUGGGCCAUGUGCGUUUAUUCAAGCAGUAUGAAGACAUGAAAGGACACAGCAGCCUUCCACGACUCAUCUCUUUAUUUGAACCUUUUCCAAAUGAUGUGCUUUUGACAAAUAUUGAGAGGACUGACUUCAGUUUUCUUACACGAUAUCGUCAGGACAACAUCACUGUUUCAUGGCACAAAGAAGCUUUACAACAACUUCGGUUAUGCAUAUUCAGAAGUCUUUGGGGGUUGUAAGAGAGAAUCGGAUAAGAUAUUUUAAAUGUAUUGUGGACUGUGGAAACCAAAAGGACUUCACUGAAUCAUUGAAGCUGAGCAAUAGUAAAGUCCACGUGGACCCAGACUGGACAGAGGAGAUACUGAAGACCAUGAGUAACUUUAUAAAAUGCUCCUCAAGUAAAGUUGGCAUCAUAGUGCACUGCGGUGGCACAAAUGAAAUUAAUGAAAGAUUUGUUCACUUCUUGUCAGACUGCCUGGAUAUGAUAUCUUCAAUACGUUUUCAAAAGGGUUUCAAUGAAGGAAGGUUUUGGGCUAUGUGUCAUUUAUUUAAGCAGUAUGAAGAACUGAAUGGACACAACAGCCUUCCAUGCCUCAUCUCUUUAUUUGCACCCUUUCCAAACAAAAUGCCCUUGACAAACACCAAGAAAUUCAAAAGUUCAGUUUUCUUACACAGUAUCAUCAGGACAAUGUCACAGUUCCACAGCACAAAGAAGCUUUACAACAACUUUGGCGAUUCUUAUUCAGCAGUCUCAUGGAGGAUGAAAGAGGGAUCAGAUAAGCUUCACUUGGUAUUUUAAAUGUAUUGUGGACUGUGGAAACCAGGAGGACUUCACUGAAUCAUUGAAGCUGAGCAAUAGUAAGCGUUCACGUGGACCCAGACUGGACAGAGGAGAUACUGAAGACCAUGAGCAACUUUAUAAAAUGCUCCUCAAGUAAGGUUGACAUCAUAGUGGACUUCGUGGCACAAAUGAAGUUAAUGAAAAAUUUGUUCACUUCUUGUCAGACUGCCUGGAUAUGAU